rnacentral:rRNA from 1 species
GCCUCAGUAGCGGCGAGCGAAGCGGCAACAGCUCAAAUUUGAAAUCUGGCCUCGGCCCGAGUUGUAAUUUGUAGAGGAUGCUUUUGGCACGGCUCCUUCUGAGUCCACUGGAACGUGGCGCCAGAGAGGGUGAGAGCCCCGUAUAGUCGGAAGCCUAGCCUGUGUAAAGCUCCUUCGACGAGUCGAGUAGUUUGGGAAUGCUGCUCUAAAUGGGAGGUAAAUGUCUUCUAAAGCUAAAUACCGGCCAGAGACCGAUAGCGCACAAGUAGAGUGAUCGAAAGAUGAAAAGCACUUUGAAAAGAGGGUUAAAUAGCACGUGAAAUUGUUGAAAGGGAAGCGCUUGUGACCAGACUUGUGCCGGGCUGAUCAUCCAGUGUUCUCACUGGUGCACUCUGCCCGGUUCAGGCCAGCAUCGGUUCCGAUGGGGGGAUAAAGGCCGCGGGAACGUAGCUCCUCCGGGAGUGUUAUAGCCCGUGGUGUAAUACCUUCGUCGGGACCGAGGACCGCGCUCUGCAAGGAUGCUGGCGUAAUGGUCAUCAGCGACCCGUCUUGAAACACGGACCAAGGAGUCGAGGUUUUGCGCGAGUGUUUGGGUGUAAAACCCGCACGCGUAAUGAAAGUGAACGCUGGUGAGAGCUUCGGCGCAUCAUCGACCGAUCCUGAUGUAUUCGGAUGGAUUUGAGUAAGAGCGUAAAGCUUCGGACCCGAAAGAUGGUGAACUAUGCUUGGAUAGGGUGAAGCCAGAGGAAACUCUGGUGGAGGCUCGCAGCGGUUCUGACGUGCAAAUCGAUCGUCAAAUCUGAGCAUGGGGGCGAAAGACUAAUCGAACCAUCUAGUAGCUGGUUACCGCCGAAGUUUCCCUCAGGAUAGCAGUGUUGUUCUUCAGUUUUAUGAGGUAAAGCGAAUGAUUAGGGACUCGGGGGCGAUUUUUAGCCUUCAUCCAUUCUCAAACUUUAAAUAUGUAAGAAGCCCUUGUUACUUAGUUGAACGUGGGCAUUCGAAUGUACCAACACUAGUGGGCCAUUUUUGGUAASCAGAACUGGCGAUGCGGGAUGAACCGAACGCGGGGUUAAGGUGCCAGAGUGGACGCUCAUCAGACACCACAAAAGGCGUUAGUACAUCUUGACAGCAGGACGGUGGCCAUGGAAGUCGGAAUCCGCUAAGGACUGUGUAACAACUCACCUGCCGAAUGUACUAGCCCUGAAAAUGGAUGGCGCUCAAGCGUCCCACCCAUACCCCGCCCUCAGGGUAGAAACGAUGCCCUGAGGAGUAGGCGGCCGUGGAGGUCAGUGACG